AAACCACUAAAUUCUCUCUCUUCUGACUCUCUCUGAGCAAUCAGAGGGUGCUUGAGGAGCUUCAAUGCUCUCCUAUUAACACAUGAUAUCCAACAAUCAGAAGUUUGGGUUGAGUAUCCUUUAUUGAGAAACCUUGGCUCAUAAGAAGUUUAAAGCUAAUAUCUGUGCGCAAGAUUGGAAGUCUUUUAAAGAGUUCCAGAGCAGCGGUGAAUUUGACUUGGACUGCAUAUAAUUGCUCAAUUUUAUAUUAGUAUAUAUAAUCAGGGCUGUUCUCUUUGUCGGUGCUAAAUGGGGAUCUUUGAAGAAAUGGGUUUCUGUGGUACUCUUGAUUUCCUUUCGGCUCCUCCUGGGGAAGGAGAGGCAGCUCCAGAGCAUGACCCAGAGGCAACAGUAGAGGAGGAUAAUAGUGAUGAAGAAAUGGAUGUUGAUGAGCUUGAGAGGAGGAUGUGGAGAGAUCGGAUGCUAUUGAAGCGACUUAAAGAACAAAGUAAGGGAAAGGAAGGUGUUGACAAUGCAAGGCAGCGUCAAUCACAGGAACAAGCUCGGAAGAAGAUGUGGCGGGCACAAAAACACUUUCAGAGGAGAAAAUCAUGAACGUGUUCUUCCUCCCAUCGCCGCCACAGCACCUCCUAUUCCGGCGUUGUAGACGACCCUUUGCAGACAUGAUGUUACUCGAGCCACCCAUAAGUCAGUUCAAUGCAAAGGCAUAAUCUGAAUUUUUUUUUUGCAAACCCGAACAGUUUUUCUAAUUUGGCUCUUUCACUUAUUCGGUUUCUACAAUUGGGUUUCCUCCUCUUUUACUGGUUAA